UCCAUCUGCCCUUUUUACUCGUGAAAAAAUAAAAACAAAGUUCUCUUCACUUUUUAUUUAGUAAAAGCGUAGAAGCACGGAGUUGUCGUGAGAAACUACUCCACACAACGCUGCUUCCCAAAACCCUCAUUUGCUCAACCUUGUCUCUCACAAUUUCUCAGUGUUUGUGAAAAAUGAGGCCGUCUAUAUUCAGAUCCGUACAAUCCGCGGUUGCAAGAAACAGUCCUCGCCGUUCCUACUCCACCCACUCCGUUCCGGAGCGCAAGGUUGCUGUUCUCGGCGCCGCCGGCGGGAUCGGGCAGCCCCUGGCUUUGCUAAUGAAGCUCAACCCUCUCGUCUCCAGGCUUGCCCUCUAUGAUAUUGCGGGAACCCCCGGUGUGGCUGCCGAUGUCGGCCACAUCAACACCAGAUCUGAGGUGUCUGGUUACAUGGGUGAAGAACAGCUGGGUAAAGCUUUAGAGGGAUCCGAUGUUGUUAUCAUCCCAGCCGGCGUGCCGAGAAAGCCCGGUAUGACCCGUGAUGAUCUCUUCAAUAUUAAUGCAGGGAUCGUCAAAUCUCUGUGCACUGCCAUCGCCAAGUACUGCCCUAACGCUCUUGUUAACAUGAUAAGCAACCCUGUGAACUCAACGGUUCCCAUUGCUGCUGAGGUUUUCAAGAAAGCAGGAACAUACAAUGAGAAGAGGUUGUUUGGUGUGACUACCCUUGAUGUGGUUAGAGCUAAGACAUUCUAUGCUGGGAAGGGAAACGUGAAUGUCGCAGAGGUCAAUGUACCAGUUGUUGGCGGCCAUGCUGGCAUAACCAUUCUCCCGCUAUUUUCUCAAGCCACACCAAAAGCCAACUUUUCAGAUGAAGAUAUCAAGGCUCUUACAAAGAGAACUCAAGAUGGAGGCACAGAAGUUGUAGAAGCAAAGGCUGGAAAGGGGUCUGCAACAUUGUCAAUGGCCUAUGCUGGAGCCAUGUUUGCUGAUGCUUGCCUGAAGGGACUCAAUGGGGUUCCAGAUGUAGUGGAGUGUUCAUUUGUUCAAUCAACUGUCACUGAGCUUCCAUUCUUUGCUUCUAAGGUGCGGCUUGGAAAGAAUGGGGUGGAGGAGGUUCUGGAGUUGGGCCCCCUCUCCGACUAUGAAAAGGAAAACUUGGAAAGUCUGAAGCCCGAACUCCUGGCAUCCAUUGAGAAGGGAAUCAAGUUUGCCAACCAGAGUUAGAUAACACUAUUAUUUAUGGCUGGGGUGGUAUAUGCCCUACUCCUGAGAGAGACGCCCAAAUUUUGCCUUUUGUUUUCUUUUGCCAUUGUUGUAUUUGUUGCUGCAAGUGGCACCGGCUUCGCUGUUUGUCAGGCCUUUUGAAAAAGCAAAGAUUCCAUCAAUAAUUCCCAGUGGCAUGUCGAGGGAGGGAUAGCUUUGAGCGGUACACAUUUAGUUGGGAUGAUAUAUUCAUCGAACUCUACUGAUAAAUUCAUUGACGUGACUUGCAGCGGAUUAA